rnacentral:rRNA from 1 species
CCAAUAGCGUAUAUUAAAGUUGUUGCAGUUAAAAAGCUCGUAGUUGAAUUUCGGGAUCAAUAUGUUGGUCGUGCCUCGGUACGUACUAGCUUAUUGGUUUCUCCUUUCUGAAGAACCAUGAUGUCAUUUAUUUGGUGUCGUGGGGAAUCAGGACUGUUACUUUGAAAAAAUUAGAGUGUUUAAAGCAGGCUCACGCUUGAAUACAUUAGCAUGGAAUAAUGAAAUAGGACGUUUGAUUCUAUUUUGUUGGUUUCUAGGAUCGACGUAAUGAUUAAUAGGGG